GACGAACGCUGGCGGCGUGCCUAAUACAUGCAAGUUGAGCGAUGAAGAUUGGUGCUUGCACCAAUUUGAAGAGCAGCGAACGGGUGAGUAACGCGUGGGGAAUCUGCCUUUGAGCGGGGGACAACAUUUGGAAACGAAUGCUAAUACCGCAUAAUAACUUUAAACAUAAGUUUUAAGUUUGAAAGAUGCAAUUGCAUCACUCAAAGAUGAUCCCGCGUUGUAUUAGCUAGUUGGUGAGGUAAAGGCUCACCAAGGCGAUGAUACAUAGCCGACCUGAGAGGGGGGUCGGCCACAUUGGGACUGAGACACGGCCCAAACUCCUACGGGAGGCAGCAGUAGGGAAUCUUCGGCAAUGGACGAAAGUCUGACCGAGCAACGCCGCGUGAGUGAAGAAGGUUGUCGGAUCGUAAAACUCUGUUGGUAGAGAAGAACGUUGGUGAGAGUGGAAAGCUCAUCAAGUGACGGUAACUACCCAGAAAGGGACGGCUAACUACGUG
rnacentral:rRNA from 1 species